CCCUUAGAUGUCCGGGGCAGCACGCGCGCUACACUGAAGGAAUCAGCGUGGCUUUCUCCCUGACCCGAAAGGGUUGGGAAACCCGUUGAAUCUCCUUCGUGAUAGGGAUUGGGGCUUGAAAUUGUUCCCCAUGAACGAGGAAUUCCCAGUAAGCGCGAGUCAUAAGCUCGCGUUGAUUACGUCCCUGCCCUUUGUACACACCGCCCGUCGCUACUACCGAUUGAACGGUUUAGUGAGGGCCUCGGAUUGGUCUCGGCCCGCUCUUUACCGGGCGGCGCCGUUGGUCGAGAAGACGCUCGAACUUGAUCGUUUAGAGGAAGUAAAAGUCGUAACA
rnacentral:rRNA from 1 species